UACGUAGGGGGCAAGCGUUGUCCGGAAUUACUGGGCGUAAAGGGCGUGUAGGCGGCCGACCAAGUCCGGUGUGAAAAUCCAGGGCUCAACCCUGGACGUGCAUUGGAAACUGGUUGGCUUGAGUGCAGGAGAGGAAAGUGGAAUUCCCAGUGUAGCGGUGAAAUGCGUAGAUAUUGGGAGGAACACCAGUGGCGAAGGCGACUUUCUGGCCUGUAACUGACGCUGAGGCGCGAAAGCUAGGGGAG
rnacentral:rRNA from 1 species